rfam:Danio rerio chromosome 4, GRCz11 reference primary assembly.
GGCCGGUUAGCUCAGCUGGUUAGAGCGUGGUGCUAAUAACGCCAAGGUCGAGGGUUCGAUCCCCGUACUGGCCA